UCUCCAUUCUCCUCCUUUAGUUUUUGGGCAAAGUCUCAGUGGUUUUAUUGCCACUGGUGCUCCUAUCCAGAGAACACCUGCAUCCGGGCACGGAAAAUUCCAGUGUGGGUUGGGCAGCCUUCCCCCAUCUUGCCGUUGACCCAUCUGGACCACGUGGUCUCCAGGGUUGCCGGAACGGGAGGAGCGGGGCAUGGAAGGGGGACACCGGCUAUGACUGCCUCAGCCCAGAAGGGACACCCAUCGUUCUGCUCAGGGUCGCCUCGCCAGAACCAGUCCUGACCCCUCCUUCACCGCACGAGAGGUUGGGAACGAUACCCAGGAGCACGUGGAAUAAUACCCGGGGAGCACGUCUCUGCCCUGGUUUCACCGUCACCUCAUCACGACGCCCCACCAGGCCUUGUGCUCUGCCACCUUCUCCGUCCCGAGCCCGAGGCAGCCGUCACAAGCAAAUGCGAUGCUCGUAAUGGGGAAGCCCAAAGAAAUCUCCUAUUUGCCCCCUCUUGCUAACGCGUAGGACGUUGACUCCUCACCUGCAGCCGGGGCAGCCUCGCUGAGGUCUGGACAGACUGGGCAGCAGCCAAGACUCGCGCUUCAGGGUCGGGCCUGGACGAGGUCAGGCACUGCCGGGGAGGAGAGCUGAGUGAAGGUGUGUGGCACCGGGAACCGGGUCACAGGCCUCACUGUGGGGACCAGCAUGGGAAGAAGCAGCUGGGGUCUCUCUGACCUUUGAUUUCUGAUUUCCUCAGCCACAGUCUGCUCUAACUUCCUGGGUGACUGCGCCAGGCAUCCGGUGGUUGGAGGCACCCGGACACUCGGCAUCUGUGUAGGACCGUGUGGUCCACAAGUGGCUGAAUAGCGGCUCGUCUCGUUCGCUCUUUCCCACCGAACUCCAGGGGACCCUCAUGAGGGGUGGCCUCGUCGUGCAGCCCUCAGCGAGAACCCAGCCAGGGGAGCCGGGAGAGGUUUGGGAGGGGACCAGGCCCUUCUCUAGGCCUUUCUCUGUGAAGAUCACUUUUCUAGGUUGAGCCACCAUGGCAGUGAGGAUGAAC
rnacentral:lncRNA from 1 species